GGCCUCGUAGCUCUAGUGGCUAGAGCGUUAGCUGUACCAAAGCCUUUUCCUUGCUGUCAUGGGUUCGAAUCCCACCGAGGCCG
rnacentral:tRNA from 1 species